UACAGAGGGUGCAAGCGUUAAUCGGAAUUACUGGGCGUAAAGCGUGCGUAGACGGGAGCGUAAGUCGGGUGUGAAAGCCCCGGGCUUAACCUGGGAAUGGCGGUUGAAACUAGUCGACUAGAAUCUGGCAGAGGGGGGUGGAAUUCCACGUGUAGCAGUGAAAUGCGUAGAGAUGUGGAGGAACACCGAUGGCGAAGGCAGCCCCCUGGGCUGAGAUUGACGCUCAGGCACGAAAGCGUGGGGAGCAAACAGG
rnacentral:rRNA from 1 species